AAUCAUGCCCAGAACUUCAAAGGGAAGCAAGUGAAUCUGGCAUCUGGGAAGUCACUGAUGAGUUCUUCCGACUGCUGGUCAACAAACAUUACUCCACACAUGCUGGCGCCAGGCCCUGUGCUGGGCAGGUGGUCUGCACCUGUGAACAGCACAGACAGUGCCCGAUGAUCGUGAGGCUUGUGGUUCUCAGGAAGAUAGGAGUCAACAGGAGACCGCGGCCCAGACGGUUGUGUCAGCCGGACGACAUCCAGCCAAGCCUCUGCUUUUCUUCCCACGUUGAAAGAAUUGUUGUGACAAUUUGCUGUCCCUUGCAGUUCCGAAGAAUGUUCAUAUCUACUUGUCAACUCCUACAAAGAAGUCAGCUGGGAUUCUGGUAGGGUUUACACUAAAUCUGAGAUCGGUUUGAGAAGUACUGCCAUCUUAACAAUAUGAAGUCUUCUGAUUUAUGAA